UACGGAGGGUGCAAGCGUUAUCCGGAUUCACUGGGUUUAAAGGGUGCGUAGGUGGGCUGGUAAGUCCGUGGUGAAAUCUCCGAGCUUAACUCGGAAACUGCCGUGGAUACUAUUAGUCUUGAAUACUGUGGAGGUAAGCGGAAUAUGUCAUGUAGCGGUGAAAUGCUUAGAUAUGACAUAGAACACCAAUUGCGAAGGCAGCUGGCUACACAAAUAUUGACACUGAGGCACGAAAGCGUGGGGAGCGAACAGG
rnacentral:rRNA from 1 species